UACGGAGGUCUCAAGCGUUGUUCGGAUUCAUUGGGCGUAAAGGGUGCGUAGGCGGCGCGGUAAGUCGGGUGUGAAAUUUCGAGGCUUAACUUCGAAACUGCAUUCGAUACUGCCGUGCUAGAGGACUGGAGAGGAGACUGGAAUUUACGGUGUAGCGGUGAAAUGCGUAGAUAUCGUAAGGAAGACCAGUGGCGAAGGCGGGUCUCCGGACAGUUCCUGACGCUGAGGCACGAAGGCCAGGGGAGCAAACGGG
rnacentral:rRNA from 1 species